UAUUAGAAAGAAUACCAAUUGCGAAGGCAGCUUUCUGGAUCAUUACUGACACUGAGGAACGAAAGCAUGGGUAGCGAAGAGGAUUAGAUACCCUCGUAGUCCAUGCCGUAAACGAUGUGUGUUAGACGUUGGAAAUUUAUUUUCAGUGUCGCAGCGAAAGCGAUAAACACACCGCCUGGGGAGUACGACCGCAAGGUUAAAACUCAAAUGAAUUGACGGGGACCCGCACAAGUAGUGGAGCAUGUGGUUUAAUUCGAAGAUACGCGCAGAACCUUACCAACACUUGACAUGUUCGUCGCGACUUUAAGAGAUUAAAGUUUUCGGUUCGGCCGGACGAAACACAGGUGCUGCAUGGCUGUCGUCAGCUCGUGUCGUGAGAUGUUGGGUUAAGUCCCGCAACGAGCGCAACCCUCACUUUUAGUUGCCAUCAUUUAGUUGGGCACUCUGAAAGAACUGCCAGUGAUAAGCUGGAGGAAGGUGGGGAUGACGUCAAGUCCUCAUGGCCCUUACGUGUUGGGCUACACACGUGCUACAAUGGUAUCUACAACAGGAAGCAAAACGGCGACGUUAAGCAAAUCCUCAAAAGAUACCUCAGUUCGGAUUGCACUCUGCAACUCGAGUGCAUGAAGCUGGAAUUACUAGUAAUCGUGGAUCAGCGUGCCACGGUGAAUGCGUUCCCGGGCCUUGUACACACCGCCCA
rnacentral:rRNA from 1 species